rnacentral:rRNA from 1 species
AACGAACGCUGGCGGCAUGCCUAACACAUGCAAGUCGAACGAGACCUUCGGGUCUAGUGGCGCACGGGUGCGUAACGCGUGGGAUCCUGCCCUUAGGUUCGGAAUAACUCCCCGAAAGGGGUGCUAAUACCGGAUAAUGUCUUCGGACCAAAGAUUUAUCGCCUUUGGAUGGGCCCGCGUUGGAUUAGCUAGUUGGUAGGGUAAAAGCCUACCAAGGCGACGAUCCAUAGCUGGUCUGAGAGGAUGAUCAGCCACACUGGGACUGAGACACGGCCCAGACUCCUACGGGAAGCAGCAGUGGGGAAUAUUGGACAAUGGGCGAAAGCCUGAUCCAGCAAUGCCGCGUGAGUGAUGAAGGCCUUAGGGUUGUAAAGCUCUUUUACCCGGGAUGAUAAUGACAGUACCGGGAGAAUAAGCUCCGGCUAACUCCGUG